rnacentral:rRNA from 1 species
AUUGAACGCUGGCGGCAGGCCUAACACAUGCAAGUCGAACGAGUGGCGGACGGGUGAGUAAUGUCUGGGAAACUGCCUGAUGGAGGGGGAUCACUACUGGAAACGGUAGCCAAUACCGCAUACCAUCAUUUUUGCCCCGAUGGGAUUAGAUGGUUGGGGGGGUAAUGGCUCAACAAGGCGAUGAGCCCCAGCUGGUCUGAGGGGAUGACCAGCAACGUGGGAACUGAGACAGGGCCCAGACUCAUACGGGAGGCAGGAGUGGGAAAGAUUGCAAAGUGGGCGCAAGCCUGAUGCAGACAUGCCGGGGGUAGGAAGAGGGCCUUCGGGUUGUAAAGUACUUUAAGCGGGGAGGCGUGACCCGAAGAAGAAGCACCGGCUAACUCCGUGCCAGCAGCCGCGGUAAUAC